GUUUUCCNACUAAGAUACUACAGGGUCAUUGCUAGGAUACAACAGUACCAGGAUAUUAUCACAGAGCUCCCGAGGUGCUCCAGGACAGGGGUCAGUUUGCAGUGGGACACUCCAGGACAGGGGUCAGUUUGCAGCAGGAUAUUCCAGGACAGGGGUCAGUUUGCAGUAGGACACUCCAGGACAGUUUGCAGUGGGAUAUUCUCAGGACAGGGGUCAGUUUGCAGUGGGAUAUUCCAGGACAGGGGUCAGUGGGAUGCUCUCAGGACAGGGGUCAGUUUGCAGUGGGAUAUUCUCAGGACAGGGGUCAGUUUGCAGUAGGACACUCCAGGACAGGGGUCAGUUUGCAGUAAGAUGCUCCAGGCCAGGGGUCAGUUUGCAGUGGGAUGCUCUCAGGACAGGUCAGUUUGCAGUAGGAUAUUCCAGGACAGGGAUCAGUAGGAUAUUGUCAGGCCAGGGGUCGGUGUGGAGUAGGAUGCUCCAGGACAGGGGUCAGUUUGGAGUAGGAUAUUCCAGGACAGGGGUCAGUAGGAUAUUCUCAGGAUGGGUCAGUUUGCAGUGGGAUGCUCUCAGGACAGGGGUCAGUUUGCAGUAGGAUACUCUCAGGACAGGGUUCAGUUUGGAGUAGGAUAUUCCAGGCCAGGGGUCAGUUUGGAGUAGGAUGCUCCAGGACAGGGGUCAGUUUGCAGUGGGAUACUCUCAGGAUGGGUCAGUUUGCAGUAGGAUGCUCCAGGACAGUUUGCAGUAGGAUAUUCUCAGGAUGGGUCAGUUUGCAGUAGGAUGCUCCAGGACAGUUUGCAGUAGGAUAUUCUCAGGAUGGGUCAGUUUGCAGUGGGAUACUCGCAGGACAGGGGUCAGUUUGCAGUGGGACACUCCAGGACAGGGGUCAGUUUGCAGCAGGAUAUUCCAGGACAGGGGUCAGUUUGCAGUAGGACACUCCAGGACAGUUUGCAGUGGGAUAUUCUCAGGACAGGGGUCAGUUUGGAGUAGGAUGCUCUCAGGACAGAGGUCAGUUUGCAGUAGGAUACUCUCAGGACAGGGGUCAGUUUGGAGUAGGAUACUCUCAGGAGUAAAGUGCACUUAUCUGUAGGAUGCUUCCAAGAUGCUACACAAGGGCACUAGCAAAGGUCAUGGUAAGAUAAUUCUGGGAUGCCAUCAGGGCAACACUCACAUUUUUGGGGUACUGGCAGCACAUUGCUGAUGCUUUCAGGCCACUUGCUUAGCAGUGAUAUAAUGUGAGAUUAAAACCUUUUCUGCCUCAGAGAUGGGGUAAUAACUGAGAGGUGGCUAAAGCUGAUAGGCCAAGAAAAGCUUAUAGUGUAUUGUGAUUAGGAAAUUAUUGUAAUUAGUUGGUUUCUGAUUGUGAUGGUGUGAAUUAUAACAUCUGUAUUGUCUCGCCCUUCACAUGAGACUGAAAAUAGAAUAAAAGUUUUUAAAACACCUCUCA
rnacentral:lncRNA from 1 species